CGCAUGUGAUGUGUAAGUGAAUUAAAAAUGUGAAUGAAGUGAAAAAUCACUGAAAAAGAAUGGCGCAUCCCCUUCAUUUAAUCAGAGAUACACUAAUCGUCGACGUACCAACUAUAGCAUUCUGCCAUCGUAUCAUCCAUAACAACGAUUAAUACUGAAAUCACCCUAUCAUGCAACGCUGCAAUCGCAAAGAUUUCUCAACAACAGCAUCUCAAUAAGUGAUUGUAACAAUAUCAACCAACGAUCACUUCAGCCCUACUUCAAGCAACAAAACCAAGCUCACGCAAAAAUUUAAAAAAACAACAUCUCUAAAUUUAUAAAAAAAAAGUAAUUUUGAAAAAUAAAAUAAUUUUAAUGUUCUAAAAAAUAUUUAGGUAUAAACUCUUCAUUAACAUUCAACGUCUCUA